rnacentral:rRNA from 1 species
AACGAACGCUGGCGGCAUGCCUAACACAUGCAAGUCGAACGAGACCUUCGGGUCUAGUGGCGCACGGGUGCGUAACGCGUGGGAACCUGCCCUUAGGUUCGGAAUAACUCCCCGAAAGGGGUGCUAAUACCGGAUAAUGUCUUCGGACCAAAGAUUUAUCGCCUUUGGUUGGGCCCGCGUUGGAUUAGCUAGUUGGUAGGGUAAAAGCCUACCAAGGCGACGAUCCAUAGCUGGUCUGAGAGGAUGAUCAGCCACACUGGGACUGAGACACGGCCCAGACUCCUACGGGAUGCAGCAGUGGGGAAUAUUGGACAAUGGGCGAAAGCCUGAUCCAGCAAUGCCGCGUAAGUGAUGAAGGCCUUAGGGUUGUAAAGCUCUUUUACCCGGGAUGAUAAUGACAGUACCGGGAGAAUAAGCCCCGGCUAACUCCGUG